rnacentral:lncRNA from 1 species
AGACGAGGCCGCACACUCUCCAGGGACCCUUCAUCCACUCCGGGAGCCGCCGCGCCUGUGAGCGGCAGUUUGUGAUUCCUCGGCCUCGUCGAUGCCCAGGGCCCGGCCAGCCCCUCAGACCUCCGCCACCCCGCUCCACUGUCUCCUUCACGGGUCCCCUUUCCUUCCCCCCGUCUCUUGGUCUAGCCCCCAUCUUUCCCUCUCCUCCCCUCCCCACCUUCCUGACUCUCCCUGGCCCGUCCCCACUUCAACGAUUGAUUUUUUCCCCCUUCAUUCAUUCUUGGACCAAGGGAGUCUGUGUCUGAACUAAACGCUCAUUUCACGUGCUCAGAAAAUAAACAGUUGACCCCUGGAAUAGCCACUGCGUGUCUACAAGUGGCCUCUCGCGCCACUCGAUGGCUCUUCACUCGCCAUAGAGUCAUUGCCGAGCAGAAGCCAGCGCCUCCCUCUUCAGCGAGCGGAGGGCAGCUGAGCCUGUGGGGCCUCCCCGGCAGGGCUCACCUCCUCUGUGCCGUCCACUCCACCCACCGCCUGAACGGGACCGCCGCAGAACCAAGAGUCGCUGAAGCCAGGUGCACCCCGGCGCCUUGUGACUUCCAGCAGUAGCGGGGGAUGGAGAGGAGGUGGCGAGGGUGUGCUGAGACCAAGAGUGCUUUCUUUUUGAAUAUUCUUUAGUUGUAGUUGGACACAACACCUGUAUUUCACUUAUUCAUUUUUAUCUGGUGCUGAGGAUCAGACCCAGGGCCUCGCAUGUGCCAGGCGGGUGCUCUACUGCUGAGCCCAGCCCCAGCACCAGCCCGACGUCCUGGUUUUUUGAUUUGGCAAAAAUACCAUCAGGUCCUCUUCACAGGAGUGUCCAGCGAGCCGCAGGCCCACCUGAGUGGGCAGCCACCCAAGGGGAGUCUCACCUGAGGCCUUCUGCAGAGGCAGGUACUGUGGUGCUCACAGCUUGUCCUGGGCUCCAGUUCUGGCUCUGCUGCCCUCGGGUGAGUUAUCUAACCUCUCUGAGCCUCCGUCUGUGCUUCUGUACAAGCCCAUGAGGAAGGAUUGAUUAAUUAAUAGCAUAACUAAUUGAUUAAGGGCACCACGUGAGCCGCGCCUGGCGUGAGGGGUGGGCUUAGCAAAUUCUUGUCAUCGGUUCUCACUGUUUUGAGGCUGUUCUCUUUGCAGGUGGCAUGGCACCACGGCCCAGGCUCCUAGGCCACCGGGCGCUUGGGACUCUGUGUGACAAAGAGCUCUCUAGAAGAUCUGUGGAAAUGAGCAGACCGGGGGCCACCUGUGCUGUUUCCGUCUGCAGGUGAACUCACCAGGCAAUCAGCCCAUUCAUGUCAACAUGCACCAAGGCGCCUCCUGAGAAGAGGAAGGUGGGGAGGCCUGGUUGGUGUCCUCACCCCCCAUCCUUCCUUCGUUCCCUUCUCUCCUGAAGGAGGCUUCCUGGUACUCCCAUCAGCAGUGACAGCAGGAAGUGGGUUCCCACUGGGCUUCCCGUCCUGCCCUCUUCCCCUCCUGGUUACAGGUCUGUGCCGGGUCACCACCACCUCGGCCUCCAGAGCUGCAGUCCCGGGGCCUGCUUUGAAGGUUGAGGUAUCAAGCGCUCCCAGACACACAGGCUGCAUGUUUGCUGGAUAUGUUGGGCUCGUGGCUGGGGGUUCCCGAGCUGGAGGUACCCUCGCUCCACUGUGGGGUGCAGCUGGAGGACCAGGAGCAGCUUGGGGUCACCCUUGGCCUGUGCAGCCUGGAGAGCCAGCUGACUCCGCCGUCCCCGCCGUCUCCGCACCCCAGGCCGUGCCCGCUCCCUGCUGGUGGAGCCCUCUGUUUCUGGGCUCAGGAAAGCCGCUGGCCACCUGGCCGUGGAGGCAGCCAGCUCCCCUGUACCUUCCUGAAUGGAGGCUUUCCUCUCCGGCUUCCUCCACUCACCUGACACAGGGCUGUCCCAUCCUGAGGGAUGUCGGGACUCUGAAGCGCGGGCCGCGUCGAUCACGCACCAUCUUGUGUGACUUUCUAGUGGGGCUUCUCCUGGGCCAGAUCUUAACACCUCAAGAACAUUGUGGCUGUGGCAUUUCCCCCGUGUGCAUGGCGUGAUGGUGAACACGGGCUCCUACCAGAUACUCGUCCCUUGACUGUGGUGGGGACGGAGUCCUGUGAGCCUGUUCACUCUCUCAGUCCCCAGUUACACAUCAUCCCACACCGUCAGCCAGCCACAGUGUUAAGACCAGAGAGAGAGAGAGAGAGGGAGAGAGAGAGAGAGA